ncrna:Halomicrobium mukohataei DSM 12286 eL15-Euryarchaeota ribosomal protein leader
CCUGCAUGGACCGAUCGACGGGUCGUACAGGUCGGGAUGUGACUCCGGACGAUUCCGGCGUUGAACCACGCA